rnacentral:rRNA from 1 species
GACGAACGCUGGCGGCGUGCUUAACACAUGCAAGUCGAACGGAAAGGCCUCUUUCGGGGGGUACUCGAGUGGCGAACGGGUGAGUAACACGUGAGUAACCUGCCCUUUACUUUGGGAUAACUUCAGGAGACUGGGGCUAAUACCGGAUAGGAGCUCCUGCUGCAUGGUGGGGGUUGGAAAGUUUCGGCGGUUGGGGAUGGACUCGCGGCUUAUCAGCUUGUUGGUGGGGUCGUGGCUUACCCAGGCUUUGACGGGUAGCCGGCCUGAGGGAGUGAGCGGCCACAUUGGAACUGAGAGACGGCCCAGAGUCCGACGGGAGGCAGAAGGGGGGAAUAUUGCACAAUGGGUGGCAGCCUGAUGCAGCAAGGCCGUGGGGGGGAAGACGGCCUUCGGGUUGUAAAACGCGUUCGCGCAUGACGAAGCGUUGUGUGACGGUAGUGGGUAAAGAAGCACCGGCUAACUACGUG